rnacentral:rRNA from 1 species
AUGAAGCACCUCCCUUUGAUGCUUGAAGGUUCUGCUAGAGCUUGGCUGAAUCAGUUGGUCCUUGGGAGCAUUUUCAAUUGGGAAGAAUUGGCCCGAGUGUUUACCAAAACAUUUGAGGGCACCUGCAAGUGGCCUGCUGGUUUGACAGAAUUGCAGCAUUGUGUGCAGAAACAGAAUGAGACCUCAAGAGAUUAUAUCCAAAGGUGGACCACCCUUCAUCACACAGUGGAGAACGUGUCAGAACACCAAGAAGUUUGUGCCUUUAAAGAAGGCGUUCAUCACAGGGAGCUCAAUCUGAAGUUCGGUCGGACCGGAGACAUGUCUCUGACUCGGAUGAUGGAGAUUGCCACUCGGUACACUAAUGGCGAAGAGGAGGACCGACUCCGGAACGGUAAAAAUAAGUCAGUCGCCCAGGGUACCAGAGGAGGAAACUCCAGUCGAAAGCAGAAACGGAAAGCUGAGGCCGCAGGUCCUGCUGAGGCAGCAGUUUUGAAUCAAGGGAAGUUCAAGGGGAAGCCUAAAGGGCCUUGGACCCCUAAAAAAGUGAAAGAUCAAGCGGGAAAUGACGUGAUUGAUUUGCCGUGUCAUAUACACACCAAAAAGGAUGAAGAGGGAAAUCUGAUUCUUCCCAAGCAUACCACUCGACAAUGUCAACUCCUGAUUCAGAGCUUCAAAGAGAGCCAGCCCAAUGAAAAGGACAAAGAGUCUGAUAAGGAGGAAGACAAAGAGGAAGAUGGUGGUUACCCCAAUGUUAAUGCCACUUUGGUGAUUUUUAUUGACCUCGAGAGCAAACAUCGACGUAAAGUUAUUAACAGAGAGGUAACAUGGUUGCUCCGGCAACGCCAAGAUAUUUGA